GUCGACUUAACUGUGAGCGAUUUAACUAAUAAAAACUUCGUUUCGAACGAAACUAUUUUGAAGGAAAAAAAAGGAUGGCCGGAGAGCCCUCUGACCACACUGUCGUGGUCAAAUGGAGUGGUGAAGAGUAUAAACUUAUCAUAGAGAAAGAUGGCACCGUUACAGAUUUGAAGAAAGCAAUCCAAGAUGCAACCGGCGUACUUCCAGAAAGACAGAAAUUACUCGGGCUAAAAUUCAAAGGAAAGCCCCCAGGGGAUGAUGUAGCCCUAACAAAUCUGAAAUUAAAGCCGUCCACCAAAAUAAUGAUGAUGGGAACCAGAGAGGAGGAACUGGAUAAAGUUAAAGAGGUUCCGAAAGACCUUCCAGAGGUGGUGAAUGAUUUUGAUAUCGAAGAGGAGGAGAUAGCAAUAGAGAAUAGGGAAGAAUAUCUCUCCAAAAUUGACCGCCGCAUCAAAGAGUAUGAAAUCACUGUUUUGAAUGAACCCAGGGAAGGGAAAAAGCUGUUGGUACUAGACAUUGAUUACACCUUGUUUGACCACAGAUCGGUUGCUGAAACAGCCAAUGAGCUGAUGAGGCCAUUCCUACACGAGUUUCUUCAGUCAGCAUACGAAAACUACGACAUAGUGAUAUGGUCUGCCACAGGGAUGAAGUGGAUUGAGGUCAAGAUGAGGGAACUCGGGGUCACCUCCAACACAAACUACAAGAUCUGCUUCAUGUUGGACCAUCUAGCCAUGAUUAGUAUCCACACUCCUAAAUAUGGAGUCAUUGAGGUGAAGCCACUAGGUGUUAUAUGGGGCAAAUAUGAACAAUGGAGUUCCAAAAAUACCAUUAUGUUUGAUGACAUCAGAAGAAACUUUAUUAUGAAUCCACAAACAGGACUAAGGAAAUUUGAAAGGGUCACUUGGAUUAGCCAAGCACCAAUUGACACCCUGGACAGCACAGAUACGAGCAUUCAGGGAGGCACAUUUCAACAGAGAAAAAGACAAAGAAUUAUUAAAGCUUUCAAAAUAUUUAAAGGAUAUUGCAGCACUAGAUGACUUCACAAACCUUAACCAUCGCCACUGGGAAAGAUAAAUGGCGGUUAACACUGGCAUGCCAUGACGUCAUGACAAACGAGCCUGACGUCAAUAAAAAGCAAACAUCAGCUAUCGCUCUAGUUGGAUCACGCACUUGUAACCGAUUUCCGGUUACGGAAAUAGCCGAGUAGUUAUGAUUGCUGUUGUUCAUCAAUUUUGGUUUUCGGCUUGUUCUUUCACAUACCCUUGAGGAUUAGUUACAGAACAGCUAUUUCAGCCUAUUAAAGCUGUAUGGUCCGAAUUACAAUAUUUUUUCCCAUCUCGUAAAAACGCUAUUAAAUCAUCGCACGUAUAUAGUUAUGAGGCUGUAUGACAUAUCAUACAUUAUUUCACAUGUUUUAACCCAAAUUAUUGGAUUUUAAAUCGAUGUUUACAUAUAACCGCGUCACUCUGCCAUUUCAAGUGACAGUCACGUGACCAGUUCAACGGUGGCCUUAUCUGUGUAAAGCUGUGUAUUUUGUUACAACAGUACCGUACCAUAAGUUUAAUAGAAAUAAAAAUAUAAAAUACC